AGCAGCGCGGGGGCGGCCCUGGGGCGGGGAGACAGGGGGCGGCUCCACUCCGGCGCUCUGCGGAGGACAGCAGCGAUCGCCAAGGCUCAAGGGGUGUCAACCAGGAACCUUGUGAUGCGUGAGGAAAAAAUAUUACCUUUUCCCCCUACUCUUUCUGGCACCCAACAAACAAGUGGGGUGGCAAAGACACCCCACUUGGGACAACUGGCAAAAGGCUGGAGUGCAGUGGCAUGGUGGCAUGAUCUUGGCUCACUGCAACUGCUGCAUCCUGGGCUCAACUGAUUCUUCUGCCUCAGCCUCCUGAGUAGCUGGGACUACAGGCACACACUACCACGUCCAGCUCUAUGAUCAGAAGAUGGCAUAAGUGGGGCUGGGCACAGUGGCUCAGUGCCCAGCUGGGAUUACGCCUGUAAUACCAGCACUUUGGGAGGCCAAGGUGAGUGGAUCACGAGGUCAGGAGUUGAAGACCAGCCUGGCC
rnacentral:lncRNA from 1 species